AAAUUUUAAAGAAAAAAAAUAAUGUAUAUGUAUACAAAAAAUAGGUUUAAAUACAAUGGAGGGAUAAAAUAAGACUGUAACAAUGAAGGUUUAAAAGAUUUUUUUUUUAGAUAGGUAUUGUUAAGAGAAACUAGUUAAAAAACAUUAAAAGGGGAAAGAGGAAAAGUUAAAAAAAAUAGAAUAAGAAAAAGGUUUAAAAAUUUAACUUUGCAAGACUAUAGGAUCAUGGGCAAAAAGCCAUGCAUUCUAUGCAUUACUUACCCCAAGCUUUGGAAUUCCGCUGUCCUCCUUGGUAGUUGAGCUUUUCCUGACUGGAUGUUAUUGUUGAUUUUCUGGAGGAGGGGCCCAUUGCAUUGAGUAUCAGAUGUCUUUGCCCAAGUCUGAAUUGUACUGCCCUUGCCAGGGGCUAGGCUAAGUAAUCUGCUCGGGUUCGCUCUUGCAAGCUUUUGUUCCCUCAAUGCUCUUCCUAGAGCCCUGGAGGAUGGGAAUGAAAAUAGCGGUCUCCCAAUCUCUGGCCCAGAGGAGCUGAGAAAUUGGGUCCCUACUCCUCAGUGCGUACUCAGAGAAAAGCAGUCAAUCCCUCUGGUCUCCCUGGUCUCUGGCUGUGCUCCAAGCUCACCCGUCCUGUGACCAAGCACUUCUGUCUCUGGUGCUUGGCCCCAUUUGGAGUCUCCAAACCCAGUAGAAUCCUGCUGUGCACUCCUGCUCUGCUUCUCUGGAGGAUGAAGGUGGGGGUCUCUCCGAUCUCCCACUUGUGUGGUCCCUGCUCAAGGAGCAGUGGCCUGACGGUGCCUUGGAUCAUGGUUUAAGGUAACCGUGAGCUGAGAGCUCACUCUUUGGCUCUGUCUCUGUAUUUGUAGCAGGCUUCCC